AAUAAGAGAAUGACAAAUCAAAUUUUUCCUCUUGAGAUUCAGCUUUUUUCUCUUGAAAAAAUUUAUAUCCAACUAAAAAUGCUGAAUACCAGGAAAAAAAAUCUGAUUUGUUGUUUUCCUAUU
rfam:Gossypium arboreum cultivar AKA8401 contig_4945_1, whole genome shotgun sequence.